rnacentral:rRNA from 1 species
AAUUCGAUGCAACGCGAAGAACCUUACCUGGUCUUGACAUCCACGGAAGUUUUCAGAGAUGAGAAUGUGCCUUCGGGAACCNGCCCGCACAAGCGGUGGAGCAUGUGGUUUAAUUCGAUGCAACGCGAAGAACCUUACCUGGUCUUGACAUCCACAGAACUUUCCAGAGAUGGAUUGGUGCCUUCGGGAACUGUGAGACAGGUGCUGCAUGGCUGUCGUCAGCUCGUGUUGUGAAAUGUUGGGUUAAGUCCCGCAACGAGCGCAACCCUUAUCCUUUGUUGCCAGCGGUCCGGCCGGGAACUCAAAGGAGACUGCCAGUGAUAAACUGGAGGAAGGUGGGGAUGACGUCAAGUCAUCAUGGCCCUUACGACCAGGGCUACACACGUGCUACAAUGGCGCAUACAAAGAGAAGCGACCUCGCGAGAGCAAGCGGACCUCAUAAAGUGCGUCGUAGUCCGGAUUGGAGUCUGCAACUCGACUCCAUGAAGUCGGAAUCGCUAGUAAUCGUGGAUCAGAAUGCCACGGUGAAUACGUUCCCGGGCCUUGUACACACCGCCCGUCACACCAUGGGAGUGGGUUGCAAAAGAAGUAGGUAGCUUAACCUUCGGGAGGGCGCUUACCACUUUGUGAUUCAUGACUGGGGUGAAGUCGUAACAAGGUAACCGUAGGGGAACCUGCGGUUG